rnacentral:lncRNA from 1 species
UGCAAUUAUAGGACUGUGACACUGUAGUUGGAGUGAAAAGACCAAGAAUAAAUCCAUAUCAUAGAUCAAAGUAAAGAAGUGAAGAACAGAUCAGAAACAAAGCAACGAAGAAAGAAAAGGAUGACUUAAUUUAAGAGCAGAUGUAAGUAAAAAUAUAUAAGUAUACUAUUAAGUUGCCAAUAGAACUAUAAUAUGAUUGAAAAAUGGAGGUUAAAUCAUUCUCUAAUAUUCAUCCUGUUGAAUAGGUAAAAAAUGGGCAAUUUAAAAAAAUAUAUUCAUAAUAUUAGGAUAAAAUAGGAAAAACAGGCUGUAGUUCUCAGAAAUCAAGGAUUUUGUUUUAUAAUAUAAAAAAAACUUGCAUGCUUGUUUGCUCUAUAUAGUGUUCCCUUUGAUUUGUUUGUCUUUUGAUGUGUAAUUUUCAAGCAGCAACUGAAGACUUUGGCAAUUGUAGCCCAGAGCUUAAAUUUUGUAGCCCUCAUAUAUAGUCCAAGACAAGAAAAGCUGAAAUUGAAGUAGCCCACACCAAAUUUUUGGGGCCAUUAGCAAGUGGACCCCUGUUAAUUUCAAACCCUGAUUUGUACAAGGUGUAAAGUAUUGUCUUUUUAACAACAAUUUGUAUUUUUCAAGAAGCUUGUUUAAUGUAUUUUAAUAAACAUGAUCUAAGAAUAAGUGACGGUUGCAUACAAAUGUACAUGAAGGUUUCAUUUUUUCAUUUCAGGAUACAAAAGUUCACCUGACAACCAAAAGGAACUGCACACCAACAUGACCAAGAGCCUUUAUCAUUCAAAAGAAG